UUAUUAUGAGAGUUUGAUCCUGGCUCAGGACGAACGCUGGCGGCGUGCCUAAUACAUGCAAGUCGAACGCUUCUUUCCUCCCGAGUGCUUGCACUCAAUUGGAAAGAGGAGUGGCGGACGGGUGAGUAACACGUGGGUAACCUACCCAUCAGAGGGGGAUAACACUUGGAAACAGGUGCUAAUACCGCAUAACAGUUUAUGCCGC
rnacentral:rRNA from 1 species